GUUGUAAUCUGCAGAGGGUGUUUCGGGUAAAGUCUGGUUUAAGUUCCUUGGAAUAGGACGUCAUAGAGGGUGAGAACCCCGUCAUUGACCAAUCACCAACCCAUGUGAAACCCCUUCGACGAGUCGAGUUGUUUGGGAAUGCAGCUCUAAAUGGGUGGUAAAUUUCAUCUAAAGCUAAAUAUUGGCCGGAGACCGAUAGCGCACAAGUAGAGUGAUCGAAAGAUGAAAAGCACUUUGGAAAGAGAGUUAAAUAGUACGUGAAAUUGUUGAAAGGGAAGCGCUUGCGGCCAGACCUGUGCGUAGGUGAUCAGUUGGUAUUUUUACCAAUGCACUCACCUAAAGCCAGGCCAGCAUCGGUUUCGGCGGCGGGACAAAAGCGUGGAGAAUGUAACUCUCUCUUGGGUGAGUACUUAUAGCUCGUCAUGGAAUGCCGCCAGCCGGGACCGAGGACCGCGCUUUGGCUAGGAUGCUGGCGUAAUGGUUGCAAGCGACCCGUCUUGAAACACGGACCAAGGAGUCUAACAUCUAUGCGAGUGUUUGGGUGUAAAACCCAGGCGCGGAAUGAAAGUGAACGGAGGUGAGAACCCUUAAAGGGGGUGCACCAUCGACCGAUCCUGAUGUCUUCGGAUGGAUUUGAGUAUGAGCAUAGCUGUUGGGACCCGAAAGAUGGUGAACUAUGCCUGAACAGGGUGAAGCCAGAGGAAACUCUGGUGGAAGCUCGCAGCGGUUCU
rnacentral:rRNA from 1 species